GGAGAGUUGGGUGAGUCUGGUUUAAACCGGCGGUUUGCUAAACCGCUGCAGCAGUGAAAGCUGCUGCCGAAGGUUCAAAUCCUUCACUCUCCG
rnacentral:tRNA from 1 species